rnacentral:rRNA from 1 species
AUGAACGCUGGCUACAGGCUUAACACCUGCAAGUCGAGGGGAAACGACGGGGAAGCUUGCUUCCCCGGGCGUCGACCGGCGCACGGGUGAGUAACGCGUAUCCAACCUGCCUCUGACUGAGGGAUAACCCGUCGAAAGUCGGCCUAAUACCUCAUGGUAUCGUCUGCGGGCAUCCAACGACGAUUAAAGAUUUCAUCGGUCAGGGAUGGGGAUGCGUCUGAUUAGCUUGUUGGCGGGGUAACGGCCCACCAAGGCUACGAUCAGUAGGGGUUCUGAGAGGAAGGUCCCCCACAUUGGAACUGAGACACGGUCCAAACUCCUACGGGAGGCAGCAGUGAGGAAUAUUGGUCAAUGGGCGAGAGCCUGAACCAGCCAAGUAGCGUGCAGGAAGACGGCCCUAUGGGUUGUAAACUGCUUUUAUGCGGGGAUAAAGUGAGGGACGUGUCCCUCAUUGCAGGUACCGCAUGAAUAAGGACCGGCUAAUUCCGUG